rnacentral:rRNA from 1 species
GACGAACGCUGGCGGCGUGCUUAACACAUGCAAGUCGAACGGUAAGGCCCUUCGGGGUACACGAGUGGCGAACGGGUGAGUAACACGUGGGUGAUCUGCCCUGCACUUCGGGAUAAGCCUAGGAAACUGGGUCUAAUACCGGAUAGGACCACUGCCUGCAUGGGUGGUGGUGGAAAGCUUUUGCGGUGUGGGAUGGGCCCGCGGCCUAUCAGCUUGUUGGUGGGGUGAUGGCCUACCAAGGCGACGACGGGUAGCCGGCCUGAGAGGGUGACCGGCCACACUGGGACUGAGAUACGGCCCAGGCUCCUACGGGAGGCAGCAGUGAGGAAUUUUCCGCAAUGGGCGAAAGCCUGACGGAGCGACGCCGCGUGAAGGAUGAAGCUUUUCGGAGCGUAAACUUCUUUUAUGUGGGAAGAUUAUGACUGUACCACAUGAAUAAGGACCGGCUAACUACGUGCCAGCCGCCGCCGUAA